rnacentral:rRNA from 1 species
UGGGGAAUAUUGGACAAUGGGCGAAAGCCUGAUCCAGCCAUGCCGCGUGUGUGAAGAAGGUCUUCGGAUUGUAAAGCACUUUAAGUUGGGAGGAAGGGCAUUAACCUAAUACGUUAGUGUUUUGACGUUACCGACAGAAUAAGCACCGGCUAACUCUGUGCCAGCAGCCGCGGUAAUACAGAGGGUGCAAGCGUUAAUCGGAAUUACUGGGCGUAAAGCGCGCGUAGGUGGUUUGUUAAGUUGGAUGUGAAACCCCCGGGCUCAACCUGGGAACUGCAUUCAAAACUGACUGACUAGAGUAUGGUAGAGGGUGGUGGAAUUUCCUGUGUAGCGGUGAAAUGCGUAGAUAUAGGAAGGAACACCAGUGGCGAAGGCGACCACCUGGACUAAUACUGACACUGAGGUGCGAAAGCGUGGGGAGCAAACA